UAAUACGUAUGGUGCGAACGUUAUUCGGAAUUACUGGGCAUAAAGGGCGCGUAGGCGGUUUGGUAAGUCUGCAUGUGAAAUCCCUCGGCUCAACCGAGGAACUGCAUCGGAAACUGCCAGACUAGAGUGCAGGAGGGGAGAGCGGAAUUCCUGGUGGAGCGGUGAAAUGCGUAGAUAUCAGGAGGAACGCCAGUGGCGAAAGCGGCUCUCUGGUCUGCAACUGACGCUGAGGCGCGAAAGCUAGGGGAGCGAACGGGAUUAGAUACCCCGGUAGUCCUAGCCCUAAACGAUGGGCACUAGGUAGAGGAGGUUUUAGAGCUUUCUCUGCUGUAGCUAAUGUAUUAAGUGCCCCGCCUGGGGAGUAUGGUCGCAAGGCUA
rnacentral:rRNA from 1 species